UACGAAGGGGGCUAGCGUUGCUCGGAAUUACUGGGCGUAAAGGGCGCGUAGGCGGACAGUUUAGUCAGAGGUGGAAAGCCCAGGCUCAACCUUGGAAUUGCCUUUGAUACUGGCUGUCUUGAGUUCGGGAGAGGUGUGUGGAACUCCGAGUGUAGAGGUGAAAUUCGUAGAUAUUCGGAAGAACACCAGUGGCGAAGGCGACACACUGGCCCGUU
rnacentral:rRNA from 1 species